GUUGUUAUCAGUUGAUGAAGGAGUAUUGUUAUUGAGAGAAAGUAUUGUAGUGUUCCUUGGUGUUUUAGUAGUUUAGAAUACGGUUAAUUGUCUGACCAAACAAGUAAAAUUCAUGUAUUUAGUCUUUCACUGUGUUCGAAUUCUCCUAUGUAGGUUUAUUUUGAAAGAAAUUGUAGAAUAAGUAAAAUGAUAAUCACAUUUUGGCACUACUACUAAAGAUAGAUAAUAGCAUUGAGUGUUAGAAAUUAACUGCCAGUUUAGUUAGAUGGGAGAUAGAAAGCAAAUUUAGUAGAAUAUAAUGAAAGAGUAUGGUUAUUAAGAAUGAGAACUUAACAGUAAAGAGAAUAUGACAGUCCAAAAAAAAGAAUAG
rnacentral:lncRNA from 1 species